CUUCAAACUAACCCUAGCCGCUAUCUUUUCCCUUUUUCGCUGAGAAAUCAUCGAUCAAAAUCCCUUCUGAAGUUGCUGCCGUAGUUCCGAAACGUUCCAGUCGAAGAAGACUCACGUAUCUACAAAUCCCAAUUUUUGUUUCGUCAAACGCCGUUCGGAGGUCGAAAUCAAUUCCGUUUAUUUCCCGUGAAAGUAGACUCACACAUCUACGUUUCUACAC